UAACAUACAGCUACGUAAAGAUCUAAGCUACGUAAAGAUUUCAAAGAAAAACGAAACGAUCCCUUUUUUGGACGUGGAUGCACAAAAUAAAAUUACAAAACUGUGGUCAUCGUCAUGUCAACUUUGGUGUCGCAGCUUUCCAUGCUCUCCACUCUGUGCUUUUUGGCGGAUUUAGGGCCUGAGCCAGCCAUCGUAACAGCAAAGUUUUGUUUGUGCUGCUUGUGCUGGACCUCCAGUUGUAUGAUUUGACUGAUGACCUCCUAUCAUCAGCAACAAUCACAGCAUCAUAACUUAGAUAAUCAGCAUCCGUUGAAUUGGGGAAACUUCCAGUGUCGACCGAGUUGAGGAUAUCUUUAAUUCCCCUUUCUUUAAAUGUCCUCGUGUACGCCCAUGUGAAUGUGGGUGUAUUCACGAGGACCUUUUACCUAUCC